UACCAGCACCCCGAGUGGUCGGGACGAUUAUUGGGCCUAAAGCAUCCGUAGCCGGUUCUGCAAGUCCCCCGUUAAAUCCAGCUGCUCAACAGAUGGGCCGCGGAGGAUACUACAGAGCUAGGAGGCAGGAGAGGCAAGCGGUACUCAGUGGGUAGGGGUAAAAUCCGUUGAUCCAUUGAAGACCACCAGUGGCGAAGGCGGCUCACUGGACCGGAACUGACGCUGAGGCGCGAAAGCGUGGGGAGCAAACAGG
rnacentral:rRNA from 1 species